AUGUCUCAGAGCUAGCUUAGUGUAGUAGCUCAUCUGCUCACGGCUCAUUAAAUCAGCUAUGAAUGUGUUGAGUGUUUGACUUCAUUGUUGUACAUGGAUACCUUUGUCAAACCCAGAGAUAAUACAUGCCCAUAUACUAUGAUGACUGCUGCGUUGUUCGCUUCGGUGGGCGGCGUGAGUGUGUUGUCAUACUUUCAUUUGGUUCAAAACCAAUUAUGUUUCUUACUCUUACCGGUGGGGGCAUAGUAUUAUUUUGUGGACUCUGGGUGACAUUAGGCUAUCGCAUGACUUCAUGUUGGCGAAACACUCGACCAAUGUCUGCCCUAUCAAUUGUCGACGGUAAGCUAGUUGCUUAUGAUGGUUGUAACGGGUGACGGGGAAUCUGUGUUCGAUUCCGGAGAAGGAGCCUGAGAGAUGGCUGCUACGGCUAAGGGUGGCAGCAGGCGCGUAACUUACCCAUUCUCGAAAUGGGGAGGUAGUGACAUGGUAUAUCGAACGUGGCCAAUUGGUCAACGUAUCGGAAUGAGAGAGGUGUUUAUCGCCUACUCCAGUACCAAGUGGAGGGCAAGUCUGGUGCCAGCAGCCGCGGUAAUUCCAGCUCCACUAGCAUAUAUUAAAGUUGUUGCAGUUAAAAAGCUCGUGGUUGAAUUCAGACUCACGGAUGUGGUGUGCAUCGCAAGGUGUGACACUCACUGAAGGAGUUUAUGGGCCGCGCACACCAGCAGUGCCCUUAACCGGGUGUUGUGGGUGGGCCGGCGAGUUUACUUUGAAUAAAUUAGAGUGCUCAACGCAGCCCUCUGGCUUGUAUAUGCUUGCAUAGAAUAAUGAAAUAGGACUUCGGUUCUAU
rnacentral:rRNA from 1 species